GAUUGAACGCUGGCGGCAGGCCUAACACAUGCAAGUCGAACGGUAACAGGAUAGCUUGCUAUCGCUGACGAGUGGCGGACGGGUGAGUAAUACUUAGGGAUCUGCCUCUGUGUGGGGGAUAACUAUUGGAAACGAUAGCUAAUACCGCAUAAUGUCUACGGACCAAAGCGGGCUUCGGCUCGUGCGCAGAGAGGAACCUAAGCGAGAUUAGCUAGUUGGUGAGGUAAAGGCUCACCAAGGCGACGAUCUCUAGCUGUUCUGAGAGGAAGAUCAGCCACACUGGAACUGAGACACGGUCCAGACUCCUACGGGAGGCAGCAGUGGGGAAUAUUGCACAAUGGGGGAAACCCUGAUGCAGCCAUGCCGCGUGUGCGAAGAAGGCCUUCGGGUUGUAAAGCACUUUCAG
rnacentral:rRNA from 1 species